CUGACUUGGCCCUUUUCAUCUCCACUUUUCUUAUGAUUGGGCAUGCCCACAACCUGGUUGUACCAUAUUCGUGUCCCUGACUAGUUUCCUCCGUGACCAAAUGUCCCAUAUUAAUGUCCAUGUUUCAUAGUUCAUAAAGUUGUGAUGGUACUAAUAUUGCAAUAGUAACUUUAUGCUUCCAAGAAAAGAUAUGAAUGCAAAAGGAGAGAGGGAGAGAGGGAUGAAAUCAUGAAAAUCUAGUAAAAAUAGAAUAAAUAUCCAUAAAGGUUGAUAGACUUCCCAAUGUUUUGGGGGAUAUGAUAGGAGAAAUACAAGGUUCCUUAUUUUGUUUUUAGUUUUCUACAGUUAUACUAUUGCUGGACUAAGCCAGUGCUAUAGGUGUAUCAUCUAUUAAGUUUUAACAGUAUGACUAAAUAGAUUCAGAGGAAGAGCAAUUUCUGGGUCCAUCAAGUCAAUUGAUGCCCUCUGGUCACUGCUUAUUUUCAAAGUGAGACGGGUAAAGUUCCCAAUUUAUUCUCAAGCAAUGAAGGGUUUUUAAUUUAUUAUUAAUUUCUAUAAUCUGCAAUAAUCAGAAAUUUACCUGCAAGACAAGGCUUCCAGAGUAGUCUGCAAUUCCACCCACUACAUCCAACCUUCCAGGUGCUCUUGCCACAAUGAUGUCUUCCUAAGUGAGUAAAUAUAUACUUGGAGUAAAUACACAAUGGAAGCAAUAAAGUAUAAAAACCAAAAAAUACAGUGAAAAUGGCUUGCACUUAAGUAUUAUACAUCAUCGGAUGCAUGCUAAAUUAGCUGGUAACAGCAACAUAAAGAGUAGUCAUUAUUAUCACUCCAUAUUUUAUCACAAGGCGAGAAGUACCAUUUAUCUGACAGAAUUUUAAGGAUGAAAAUCUUUGAUAUAAAUACAGAGUAAAAACUACUGUUGUCAUAGUGAUAAUAUUUGGAGUGCCAUUUGUAGAGUGCUAAAAUCAAAUCCAAUAGUAAGAAGAAAACUAUUUUUAAAAAAAUAAAAUGAAAGCUUAAACUUCAGACAUCACAUAGAGACGAACAGAGUGAUGAAAAAUCAAUUAAUAGUUCAGAAUUGAAUAAAAGACGUGUUAUUUAACAUCUUAGAUUAUGUAAUGUUGCUCUAAAUCAUUUAUGUGCUGAAGCCGUCUAGAAAUUGGAGGAAAAGGAGGAGACAUUAUUCAAUUAUGAAAAAUGAUUGGAAGACGAGUCAAACAUCUUAAAUGCAUUAAUCAAAGAUCAAUGUAUUCUAGCAUGUAGAACCAACAAGCACACACAAUUAUGUAUACUGUUUGUAGUUAUAACUAGACCAACUUUAAUUUUAUUAUUGGUUUCACUUUAAAGUAUACGGUAUAAAGGCAAAUAUGAAAUGGUUAUUGUGCUUUAGAUGCAUUCACUUUCUGGGGCACAAUGUAAAAGCAUAUGAUGCAGUUUUGCUGCACCCAUAGUUCAUUACGUAUAGUGAUCAGCCAAUACUGAAUUAGGAAAUGCAUUGACUUUUAAAUCAAGUUGUAUAAGACCUCCCAAUUGAAAAGACCAGCAGCUGCUACACGCUCUCGCAUGUGACGCUUUUCAGCAUUCUUUCCAGAGUAACAUAAAGCUUCUAGUUCUGCCAAGCUCUUUAAAAAAUUCAUUGUAUCUGAAAGACCCAAAAGAUCUCCGUGAAGAAUCUCAAAGUCCUCAGAGUAUCUAGAAGAAAAAAAAAAUGCAACGAUAUGAACAGAAGUAACUCAGGUAAGCAAUCUGUAUGUCUAAUAAGGACCUUCAUACACUGAGAAGAAAAAGCUCACGAGUUCAUGAAGGCGGUUGUCUCAUUUGUUUCAGCAUUUGGUGAUCCAGUACGGAGACCAAAUUCACUUUCAGCAUUCGUAUACCACUCUGGGAUGGAAAUAUCUCUUCCAGGGACUCUUUGUAAUUGAAACCCGAGAACGAUAGCAUCACGCAAUCUCCUGGCCCCACUAAACUAAAACUCCAGGCAAUAUAGAAAUCAUUUAGUGGAAAAGGUACCAUAUCAAAAAUCAGUUUCAAACUAGUUACACGAGUUUUCAUGUAUGUAUGUAUGUGUGUGUGUGUGUGUAUAUAUUAUUAGCACCCUAGCACCACUUUAUUAUAAGAGACUUUCCAAAUAUGAGUAUAGAGAAUGGGUGUGGAGUAAUAAUUCCAUAUUAAUCUGAAUCAAUCCAUACACAUAACAUUUUUAAUAAGGUUCUGGCUAGAAGCAUACAAGUACUGUAGCGUGCUUAUCCGUGGGUAUUUGGUAACCAUAUAUAAAUCAACAAGCUAUCCGGUAUUUUGAAAACAAACCCACAUUGGGUCACUGCAACAGCAACCCAGGUAACUCGAGAAACAAGCAGACUACUCAUUCUCCAUAUAUUUUCAUCUAGGGAAAGGUAAUUGCACAAGGUACUAAACUUAAAGCCAUUUUCAGCUUUCAUAUCAAUCAACCACCGUAUGAAAGUGAUAUAUAAGUUACGCUAUAUUUAUUGAAUAUAACAUGCAAAGAAAAUGAUUAUACCAAACAUAUAAUUCAUGUACCUUAUCUGAUGCAUAAUUCUUUCCAACAGCUGUAUCCUGCAAAAUACGGGCUGCAACCUGAAGAUUAUGACAGUGUGUUAGAGAACAUAUGAAAUUCUGGUAAAAACAUUAUUGAAAUGAAAGACAUUCCAACCGAGAAAAAGCAGAACUCCAAUACAUAGAUCAUGAAACAGAAAUCUGGCCUCCUACAAAUGCAAUAAUAAUUCUUUAAUCAUGAUCCGAACAGCUUAGAACAAUUUGCAAAACCAUAUCGUUUCAGAUACUUCUUAAUGGGGAAAAGAAAAACCAAAGUUUUUGUCUAAUGACCAAAAUUACCAACAAAUUUUCAUACAUUUAUAUGGUACAGCCGUCGAACUUUUUUUUUGGCAAUAUGAUUGAACUUAAGGAAAACCUUCAAUUUAGUCCGAAAAUUUAAUGUGGGUAACCAACUUAAGAGAGCUUAUUUGACAGCAAGGUCGAGAGGUUAAUUACUUGAUUGGUUCAAAGUAUUAUGGCAUAAAAAGUAUUCCCAAGCGUUACUUAUUUUAUGACUGGAGAGCAGAAAGAAAAUGGGAACCAAAGAUGACUCCAAGUGGUGAUGCUCUUGACUGGGAUUUGGAGUUAAACUACGCCACUGAGCACUUCAAAGGAAGGUCCUUUCUGGUUAAAAUCAGAGGAAUUGCUCUUGCUUCCACAAAGUACUGCUUGUGGCAGGAGCAAAAAGUGCCAAUAGAAAUUGAUAAUCUAAUGCAGACAAAAGUUUUUAGAUGAAAAUGGGGUAUUAGUUAUAACCAAGAGUGUUUAGAUGAUUACAGUUAUAAAAAAAUGGUUGUAGGUGUGGUUUUCCGUUUGUAGUUUACUUUUCUUGGAGGGUAAAACGUGAAGCCCUUAUGUAAAAAUAAUUUUUUUAAUAAAUAAAUUGACCUUUUCCCAAAAAAUAAAAAACUGCAGAGCUGAAUUUUUUGUUUCGACUCGGUAUUUUUUAAUUUUUUGGUUGCUAAUGUGGCCAUUUCAAAUGUGAGACUUGAGCAACCAAAUUACAAUUAAUACAAAAAGACAUGCGAAUUAAAUUCAGCAUUUAUCCUCUCCUUUCUCUCUCUCUUGGUACCCAUUUCUUCACGUAUGUUUUUUACCCAACACAGUAGUACCACCAUUUAAAUCACAACCACAAACACAGAUGCACAAACCACUGAGGAUACUAAGAGGAUUAUGGAUUAGUGUUAAUGAGUGUGACAUUCAAUGGUUUUUGUUGGGGAUGGGAUUAGUUGGAAAGGUGCCCUGUGACGACCCGAGAAUUCGGAUAACCUUGAAAUUAGGUUUUUCGAUGAGAAUAUCUAAUAAAUAAAAUUUUAUUGAUAUUAUUAUUAUGUGUUAUAUGAUUUAGGUCGAUUAAUGACCUAGUUUGCGUGUUAUGUGAUUAUGUACGAGUGUUGGGGGUUUUUGGGAGAAAAUAUUUUUUCCCGAGAAAAACGCAAAAAACACUAUUCAUAAAGCGCAGAAAAUGCUAAUAAACGUACUUUUUCGAGAAUUUUGAAUUACGUCAUAGCGUUUAUUUAAGGAGAGAUGAAAUUUGUAGUGAAAGUUUUUUCAGGAAAAAGCCGUAAAAGCACUAUUCACGAGAAAAACGCACAUUCAUUUUUUUGACUUUUCAAAGAAUGACAGUGUGUUUGUUCGGAAAAAGGGGGUCGGUGGCGAAAUCAAAUUUUCGAAAAUCAAAAGUCGAUUUUUCGACUAACCGAGCGUGUUACGAAUUCGUAACUAAAAAAGUUAAAAAAAACUAACUAAAAAGAAAUUGAGAAAAUAAAUUAAUUUUGGACUAACCAAGCAUAUGGUUUGGAAUGGCUUGGAAUAAGUUUGACUACGGUUGAGCUUAGGUUUUGGAGUGGCUUGGUUAGGGUUGAGCCUAUGGUUAAACCCUAGAUACUUGGAGCCAAAGAUUAAGAGCCAUGGCUUAUGUUUGGAGCCAAAGAAAUUGGAAGACUUGGAGCCAUAGUGUUGGAGGAAAUGUGUCACUUGUUAGUAAAUUAAAGAAAAUGAAAAGUGGAUGAGACUAGGAGGGGGGAGGAAUACUGAAAGAUAAGGUGAUGAAUCUUAAUGGUUAAGUCUUGUGGUGUGGAUAAGAUGAUGACUCAUUUGCUUAAUGGUUAAGUCUUAGUUUUAAAAAGACAAAACUACCCCAACUCUUGCAAGGGAUAUAAAGAGAAGCCCAUUUCCUUCACAAUCUUUACCAAUUCACCAAAUUCAAGAGGGAAAACUAUGGAGAGAGAGAGAGAGAGGGGCGGCUCCAAGGAGGAAGAAGAAGAGGAAGAUAAAGCUUUGAUCAUUCAUUAGCAAGUAAGAAGAAGAUCUUCAAGAGGUAAGCCAUAAACCUUAAACCAUGGUGGUUUUGAUUGGUGGUGUUGUUAUGGUUUGUGGUGGAUCAUGGUGGAUCUUGGAGUUAUAAGGUUGUUGUGGUAUAUAACCUUGUAAACUAUUGGUAAUACACAUGAAAAGUGGAACAAAAGAACUACAAAUGUAAGCCUAUGCGUAAAAGAUAGAAAAGCUAAAUAGUGGACGAAGGAAAGAUAGGUUUGUUCCAUGAGUUACGAAGGUAAUCCAAUUGGAACGAAAGGAAAAUUCGUUGUAACGAAGUUAUGGCGGAAUUUCUAGUAAAGUAGGUAAAAAGAUAAAGGAGAAAACAAUUUGUGUACUGACUUUUGAGUCAGUUUUCUGGGAAGUUAAAGCUUCUGGAAAUUGGUCAUUUUCUAGGGGUUUUGUAGUUUGUAGUAUAAGGAAGUCGUAGGCUCAAGAACGGACUCAUUCCAACUUGGAAUGAGCGAGUUAUGACGUUGCAAAGUGGGUACGACGAUAUCG
rnacentral:lncRNA from 1 species